rnacentral:rRNA from 1 species
GGUUUAAUUCGAUGAUACGCGAGGAACCUUACCCGGGCUUGAAUUGCAGGAGAACGAUCCAGAGAUGGUGAGGCCCUUCGGGGCUCCUGUGAAGGUGCUGCAUGGUUGUCGUCAGCUCGUGCCGUGAGGUGUCGGCUUAAGUGCCAUAACGAGCGCAACCCCUCUCCGUAGUUGCCAUCGGGUGAAGCCGGGCACUCUGCGGAUACUGCCACCGUAAGGUGUGA